CAUGCUGAAUUCGGUCGGUCGCGCAACUCGUAGAUCAGCGUGAAGUUAGUAACAAUUGUACACAAUUUAGUGGAGAAAUGCCAAACCGCGUGAUACUUUCAGUCCUACGUGACAACGCCUCAAGAAGAAGUAAUGCUGCGAUAGAUUGGGGACCUGUAUUCCUAUCUCGCGCAAAACGCACGCUGGGAUAGGUUAAAUGCUCAUCAGGAAGAGAUGAGCAUUAACCCGUACCAAAGUGAUGGAAGAGGAACGGGUGGAGAAAGAAAGGAACCGCUCACGAUCAGAAAGCUGUGAAACACGCUGGAGGGAGUGUACAUCUGAA